GCUGUAUUUAGAUGGAAUUCAGACCAGACCAGACAUCAGGCAAAUAUCCGUGUCGGAGCCCCAGUUUAUUCAGGAGUCGUCUGGUAUGCCUCAGUGUAUGAUAAGAA